rnacentral:rRNA from 1 species
UACGGGGGGGCAAGCGUUGUUCGGAAUUACUGGGUGUAAAGGGUUCGUAGGCGGUGUAGCAAGUCGGGAGUGAAAUCUCUGGGCUUAACCCAGAGGCUGCUUCCGAAACUGCUGUGCUUGAGUGUGGGAGAGGCGCGUGGAAUUGCAGGUGUAGCGGUGAAAUGCGUAGAUAUCUGCAGGAACACCCGUGGCGAAAGCGGCGCGCUGGACCACUACUGACGCUGAGGAACGAAAGCUAGGGGAGCAAACAGG